AACGAACGCUGGCGGCAUGCCUAACACAUGCAAGUCGAACGAGAUCCUUCGGGGUCUAGUGGCGCACGGGUGCGUAACGCGUGGGAAUCUGCCCUUAGGUUCGGAAUAACAGUUAGAAAUGACUGCUAAUACCGGAUGAUGACGUUAAGUCCAAAGAUUUAUCGCCUGAGGAUGAGCCCGCGUAGGAUUAGCUAGUUGGUGUGGUAAAGGCGCACCAAGGCGACGAUCCUUAGCUGGUCUGAGAGGAUGAUCAGCCACACUGGGACUGAGACACGGCCCAGACUCCUACGGAAGGGGGGGGGGGGGAAUAUUGGAAAGGGGCCGCAGCCCUGAUCCAGCAGUCCCGGGUGGGUGAGGAAGCCUUUGGGGUGAAAAAGCUUUUUUCCCCGGGAAGAUAAUGACGGUUCCGGGAAAAAAGCCCCCGCCUAACUCCGUC
rnacentral:rRNA from 1 species